AUACGGAGGGUGCAAGCGUUAUUCGGAAUCACUGGGCGUAAAGGACGCGUAGGCGGGUUGGCAAGUCAGAUGUGAAAUCCUACAGCCUAACUGUAGAACUGCAUUUGAAACUGCUAACCUAGAGUAUGGGAGGGGGAGAUGGAAUUAGUGGUGUAGGGGUAAAAUCCGUAGAUAUCACUAGGAAUACCGAAAGCGAAGGCGAUCUCCUGGAACAUAACUGACGCUCAGGCGUGAAAGCGUGGGGAGCAAACAGGAUUAGAAACCCUAGUAGUCC
rnacentral:rRNA from 1 species